rnacentral:rRNA from 1 species
UAGGGAAUAUUGGACAAUGGGUGAGAGCCUGAUCCAGCCAUGCCGCGUGCAGGAAGAAGGCCUUCUGGGUUGUAAACUGCUUUUGCCAGGGGAUAAAAUUUCCAUGCGUGGAGAAUUGAAGGUACCUGGUGAAUAAGCCACGGCUAACUACGUGCCAGCAGCCGCGGUAAUACGUAGGUGGCAAGCGUUGUCCGGAUUUAUUGGGUUUAAAGGGUGCGUAGGCGGUUCCAUAAGUCAGUGGUGAAAUACAAUAGCUUAACUAUUGAGGUGCCAUUGAUACUGCGGAACUUGAGUACAGACGAGGUAGGCGGAAUUGACGGUGUAGCGGUGAAAUGCGUAGAGAUCUGGAGGAACACCGAUGGCGAAGGCAGCCCCCUGGGCUAACACUGACGCUCAUGCACGAAAGCGUGGGGAGCAAACAGGAUUAGAUACCCGCGUAGUCCCUGAGCGGGCUGGCAAGGCGCAU